rnacentral:rRNA from 1 species
AGAGUUUGAUCCUGGCUCAGGACGAACGCUGGCGGCGUGCCUAACACAUGCAAGUCGAACGGUCUAAUGCUUAACACUGAGUGUUCAGUAACGGUUGGAACAGCGAGAGCGCGAAGGUGUGCAAAAACGCUACUGAGGAACUGAACAUUGAGUGUUAAGUAUUAGAUAGUGGCGGACGGGUGAGUAACGCGUGGGUAACCUACCCAUAAAGCCGGGACAACCCUUGGAAACGAGGGCUAAUACCGGAUAAUCUUAUUUGUUGGCAUCAACCGAUAAGGAAAGGUGGCCUCUGUAAAUGCUACCGAUUAUGGAUGGACCCGCGUCUGAUUAGCUAGUUGGUGGGGUAAAGGCCUACCAAGGCGACGAUCAGUAGCCGGCCUGAGAGGGUGAACGGCCACACUGGGACUGAGACACGGCCCAGACUCCUACGGGAGGCAGCAGUGGGGAAUCUUCCGCAAUGGACGAAAGUCUGACGGAGCAACGCCGCGUGUAUGAUGAAGGUCUUCGGAUUGUAAAGUACUGUCUUUGGGGAAGAACGAUGGAUUUGAAAAUAUUGAGUCCAUAUGACGGUACCCAAGGAGGAAGCCCCGGCUAACUACGUGCCAGCAGCCGCGGUAAUACGUAGGGGGCAAGCGUUGUCCGGAAUUAUUAUUCUUAAGUCUGGUGUGAAAGAUCAGGGCUCAACCCUGAGAGUGCAUCGGAAACUGGGUAUCUUGAGGACAGGAGAGGAAAGUGGAAUUCCACGUGUAGCGGUGAAAUGCGUAGAUAUGUGGAGGAACACCAGUGGCGAAGGCGACUUUCUGGACUGUAACUGACGCUGAGGCGCGAAAGCGUGGGGAGCAAACAGGAUUAGAUACCCUGGUAGUCCACGCUGUAAACGAUGGGUGCUAGGUGUAGAGGGUAUCGGCCCCUUCAGUGCUGUAGUUAACACAAUAAGUACUCCGCCUGGGGAGUACGGCCGCAAGGAUGAAACUCAAAGGAAUUGACGGGGGCCCGCACAAGCGGUGGAGCAUGUGGUUUAAUUCGACGCAACGCGAAGAACCUUACCAGGGCUUGACCUCCCCUGACCGGAUAUGAAAGUAUCUUUUCACCUUCGGGUGACAGGGAGACAGGUGGUGCAUGGUUGUCGUCAGCUCGUGUCGUGAGAUGUUGGGUUAAGUCCCGCAACGAGCGCAACCCCUACAUUUAGUUGCUAACGGAUAAUGCCGAGCACUCUAGAGGAACUGCCGUUGAUAAAACUGAGGAAGGUGGGAAUGACGUCAAAUCAUCAUGCCCCUUAUGUUCUGGGCUACACACGUGCUACAAUGGCCGGUACAGACGGAAGCGAAGCCGCGAGGUGAGGCAAAUCCGAGAAAGCCGGUCUCAGUUCGGGUUGCAGGCUGCAACUCGCCUGCAUGAAGUCGGAAUCGCUAGUAAUCGCAGGUCAGCAUACUGCGGUGAAUACGUUCCCGGGCCUCGUACACAUCGCCCGUCACACCACGAAAGCCUGCAACACCC